UACGGAGGGUGCAAGCAUUGAUCGGAAUUACUGGGCGUAAAGGGCGCGUAGGCGGUUCAGAAAGUCAGAUGUGAAAUUCCGGGGCUCAACCCCGGAGCUGCAUUUGAAACUUCUGAACUGGAGUGCAGUUAGGGAAAACGGAAUUCCACGUGUAGCGGUGAAAUGCGUAGAUAUGUGGAAGAACACCGGUGGUGAAGACGGUUUUCUGGGCUGUAACUGACGCUGAGGCGCGAAAGCAAGGGGAGCAAACAGG
rnacentral:rRNA from 1 species